AAGUAUAAUACAUAAAUAUUUCGAUACAAUAUUUAAGGAAGUCCUAUACUUA
rnacentral:tRNA from 1 species